rnacentral:tRNA from 3 species
GGCAACGGCCAGCGCGGGCUUCGCCGCGCGCGUCGCCGCCGCCGACGCGUUCGUCCAUGUGCGCGACAUGGCCGAUGCCG